CAGCAAGAGGGGUAUCCACAGAUAGCACCAAGCAUCCUGUCUUCUAAAUGUGAACGCUAACAUGUUGUGGCACUAGCCACACAAGUGUUUAAAUAAACACUCCCUUUAGUUAAAAUGCCUGGCCAGGUAACUUCUUAAUUAUUGUAUCUAUUUAAUUAAGGAUUCCCCUUUAAGAAGGCUGAACUCCCAUGAGCCUUUGUUCUUUUUUAAACAGGUAGAGGGUUGAAGGGAGGCAGGUUUUGUGUUCUGGGUUCCUCCAUUUUGUGUAUGGUGGUGUGGUUUGUGUGCAGGUUCUCAAUGGGUUCCAGUUGACUUUCAGGAUUUUAUUUACAAGAAAAUUAUAUUAAAUAAGAACUAUACCUACCUUGGAGCAUCUCUUGGACAACUUGUUGCUGUUGGACUGCCACUGGAACUACAGAAUAAGCAUCAACAAACAAACAGUCAGGUCUGUGAGGAUGAGAAGGUCUCCACAGUCUGGAGUCUGGUCUCUGACAGGCUCAACAUACCUGUCAAUCAACAGGGACUCCUCUACAAAGGCAAGGCGCUGGCAGGUGAUGAAGUGACACUUUGAAUAUGGGGCCUGAUGAGAGAAGUAUCCUUUUCAUGUGGUUUUGGUUUUGCCGUUGUGAGCAGGUGUGGGAGACAGCACCGUGUCUGCAUGUGAAAUAACAAAGUCAUCGCAGUGGAGGGACUCUCUGAAGGCUGCUGUUUGUGGAUUUGUCUUUUAAUGUGAGUGAUCUACUGUACUGUGAUGCCACUGACUGUACGCACGCUGCACUGCAGGGGAGACACCGCUGGCAUUCACAGGGCAUGCUAGUUCAUUUAAAGCACGCUGCACUGCAGGGGAGACACCGCUGGCAUUCACAGGGCAUGCUUGUUCAUUUAAAGCACGCUGCACUGCAGGGGAGACACCGCUGGCAUUCACAGGGCAUGCUUGUUCAUUUAAAGCACGCUGCACUGCAGGGGAGACACCGCUGGCAUUCACAGGGCAUGCUUGUUCAUUUAAAGCAUGCUGCUGUGGGAUGUUUGCACAGUGAUCUUGUAUCUUAUUUUCAGGUGAAGUUUUGAAUGCAUCAAGUUAGAAGACUUGGCUUAAGAUAAUGAACUCCACUUUUCAUAAUGUAAAUUGUUUAGUUUGCAUGAUUUGAUAAUACAGGUGGAUUUAAUUAGACAACAAAACCAAGAUGCGCCAUGUGAGGGAAUAAUGAUAUUUUUAUUCUCAAACUUAUAUACCUCCAUUGAAUUACUUUACAACAACAUCUGCACACACACACACACACAUAUAUAUAUAUGUAUAAUGUAUGUAUAUAUCAAUACAUGUAUAUAUGUGUUCUUAUCUAGUGUCGUGGUAGAACAGUUUUGGCCUUAGCAAUAGUCAAUGCUAGUAAUUGGAAAUGCUAGUAAUUGAAAGUAUUUUAUGUGUUUCACUGAUCUGUCAUGAGGGGUGUUUGUGCUGCACUGUGGGUCACUGAUCUGUCAUGUGGGGUGUUUGUGUUUCACUGAUCUGUCAUGAGGGGUGUUUGUGUUUCACUGAUCUGUCAUGAGGGGUGUUUGUGUUUCACUGAUCUGUCAUGUGGGGUGUUUGUGUUUCACUGAUCUGUCAUGUGGGGUGUUUGUGCUGCACUGUGGGUCACUGAUCUGUCAU